GGGGAGCGCGCCCUCGCCCUGGCCCCUCCGAGCCUCCGACUAGUCCUUGCAACUUCGGGGCCUGGCCACCGGGAAAAGUUGGCCCGUGCCAGCUGGCCGACGGGGAUCAAACAGGCCUCAGAUGAGCUGUAAAGCAGCUGAGGGCAUCUGCUCUCAAGAGGCAUCUCCAGGAGAGACACAGAAACCCAAACAGAUGUGACUGUGAUGAGUAAAAAUGAGAGAAUUCAGACAGCCUAUAUCAGGAGCAGCCUCAGUACCUUCUGCGCAGGAAGGAAUUGGCCGUCUUUCUGAAACUCCGAAAAUGAGAGAUUUCAAACACCCGUCCUUCGUGAAGACACCUCGCAGGAUCGGGGCAGGAGAACCUGCUGAAUUCAGAAGAAAUGGUAUCCUCUAGAUUCCAAGGAGGGGAUGAAGGACAGG